UUCCGGUUGAUCCUGCCGGAGGCUACCGCUAUUGGAGUUCGAUUAAGCCAUGCGAGUCCAGAGCUUUCGGAGCUCGGCGUACCGCUCAGUAACACGUGGGUAACCUAACCUAUGCAGGGGAAUAACCUCGGGAAACUGAGAAUAAUGCCCCAUAGUCCACUACGCCUGGAACGGUGAGUGGAUGAAAGCUCAGGCGGCAUAGGAUGGGCCUGCGGCGUAUCAGGUUGUAGGGGGUGUAAAGUACCCUCUAGCCCUCUACGCGUACGGGUGUUGGGAGACAUAGCCCGGAGAUGGAUUCUGAGACACGAAUCCAGACCCUACGGGGUGCAGCAGGCGCGAAAACUUGGCAAUGCGAGCAAUCGUGACCAGGGAACUCCAAGUGGCUGGGGUAAGACCCAGUCUUUUCAGAACUCUUCAAAGGUUUUAGAAUAAGGGGUGGGUAAGGACGGUGCCAGCCGCCGCGGUAAUACCGGCGCCUCAAGUGGUAGUCGCUUUUAUUGGGCCUAAAACGUCCGUAGCCGGUUUGGUACAUUCGUGGGUAAAUCAACUCGCUCAACGAGUUGAAUUCUGCGAGGACGGCCAGACUUGGGACCGGGAGAGGUGUGGGGUACUCUCAGGGUAGGGGUAAAAUCCUGUCAUCCUGAGAGGACCACCUGUUGCGAAGGCGCCACACUAGAACGGAUCCGACGGUCAGGGACGAAGCCUAGGGGCACGAACCGGAUUAGAUACCCGGGUAGUCCUAGGUGUAAACGCUGUGGACUUGAUGUUGGAGGAGCUCCGAGCUCUUUCAGUGUCGAAGCGAAGGUGAUAAGUCCACUGCCUGGGAAGUACGGUCGCAAGGCUGAAACUUAAAGGAAUUGGCGGGGGAGCACCGCAACCUGAGGAUUGUGCGGUUUAAUUGGAUUCAACGCCGG
rnacentral:rRNA from 1 species